rnacentral:ncRNA from 2 species
UUCUUAUCAAGAGAGGUUGAGGGAAUGGCCCGAUGAAGCCUCAGCAACCUUCAAUGCUUUUACGCAUUGAAAAGGUGCUAAGUCCUGCAAGUUAUGGGAUCAUAACUUGAAAGAUAAGAA